rnacentral:rRNA from 1 species
GACGAACGCUGGCGGCGUGCUUAACACAUGCAAGUCGAACGGAAAGGCCCUGCUUGCAGGGUACUCGAGUGGCGAACGGGUGAGUAACACGUGGGUGAUCUGCCCUGCACUUCGGGAUAAGCCUGGGAAACUGGGUCUAAUACCGGAUAGGAGCCAUUUUUAGUGUGAUGGUUGGAAAGUUUUUUCGGUGUAGGAUGAGCUCGCGGCCUAUCAGCUUGUUGGUGGGGUAAUGGCCUACCAAGGCGGCGACGGGUAGCCGGCCUGAGAGGGUGGACGGCCACAUUGGGACUGAGAUACGGCACAGACUCCUACGGGAGGCAGCAGUGGGGAAUAUUGCACAAUGGGCGCAAGCCUGAUGCAGCGACGCCGCGUGGGGGAUGACGGCCUUCGGGUUGUAAACUACUUUCGCUAGGGACGAAGCUUUUUGUGACGGUACCUAGAUAAGAAGCACCGGCUAACUACGUG